CAACCUCAACUCAUAUGGACUACCCCCUGAAUUUAAGCAUAUUAAUUAGGGGAGGAAAAGAAACUAACAAGGAUUUUCUUAGUAGCGGCGAGCGAAAAGAAAACAUUCAGCACUAAGUCACUUUGUCUAUAUGCAAAUGUGAGAUGCAGUGUAUGGAGCGUCAAUAUUCUAGUAUGAGAAAUUAAUGAUUUAAGUCCUUCUUAAAUGAGGCCAUUUACCCAUAGAGGGUGCCAGGCCCGUAUAACGUUAAUGAUUGCUAGAUGAUGUUUCCAAAGAGUCGUGUUGCUUAUAGUGCAGCACUAAGUGGGUGGUAAACUCCAUCUAAAACUAAAUAUAACCAUGAGACCGAUAGUAAACAAGUACCGUGAGGGAAAGUUGAAAAGAACUCUGAAUAGAGGUUAAACAGUACGUGAAACUGCUUAGAGGUUAAGCCCGAUGAACCUGAAUAUCCGUUAUGGAAAAUUCAUCAUUAAAAUUGUAAUAUUUAAAUAAUAUAUUAAGAAUAAUGUGCAUUUUUUCCAUAUAAGGACAUUGUAAUCUAUUAGCAUAUCCCAAAUUUAUCAUAAAAUAUAACUUAUAGUUUAUUCCAAUUAAAUUGCUUGCAUUUUAACACAGAAUAAAUGUUAUUAAUUUGAUAAAGUGCUGAUAGAUUUAUAUUAUUACAGAGCGUUAAUUUUUCGGAAUUAUAUAAUGCAUAAUUAUCAUUGAUUUUGUUUUAUUAAUGCUCUUGUAUGAUUAACAAUGCGAAAGAUUCAGGAUACCUUCGGACCCGUCUUGAAACACGGACCAAGGAGUCUAACAUAUGUGCAAGUUAUUGGGAUGUAAACCUAAUAGCGUAAUUAACUUGACUAAUAAUGGGAUUAGUUUUUAGCUAUUUAUAGCUAAUAACACAAUCCCGGGGCGUUCUUAUAGUUAUGUAUAAUGUAUAUUAUAUUAUUUAUGCCUCUAACUGGAACGUACCUUGAGCAUAUAUGCUGUGACCCGAAAGAUGGUGAACUAUACUUGAUCAGGUUGAAGUCAGGGGAAACCCUGAUGGAAGACCGAAACGUUCUGACGUGCAAAUCGAUUGUCAGAAUUGAGUAUAGGGGCGAAAGACCAAUCGAACCAUCUAGUAGCUGGUUCUUCCGAAGUUUCCCUCAGGAUAGCUGGUGCAUUUUAAUAUUAUAUAAAAUAAUCUUAUCUGGUAAAGCGAAUGAUAGAGGCCUUAGGUCGAAACGAUCUUAACCUAUUCUCAAACUUAAAUGGGUAAGAACCUUAACUUUCUUGAUAUGAAGUUCAAGGUUAUGAUAUAAUGUGCCCAGGGGCCACUUUUGGUAAGCAGAACUGGCGCUGUGGGAUGAACCAAACGUAAUGUUACGGUGCCCAAAUUAACAACUCAUGCAGAUACCAUGAAAGGCGUUGGUUGCUUAAAACAGCAGGACGGUGAUCAUGGAAGUCGAAAUCCGCUAAGGAGUGUGUAACAACUCACCUGCCGAAGCAACUAGCCCUUAAAAUGGAUGGCGCUUAAGUUGAUACCUAUACAUUACCGCUAAAGUAGAUGAUUUAUAUUACUUGUGAUAUAAAUUUUGAAACUUUAUGAGUAGGAAGUACAAUGGUAUGCGUAGAAGUGUUUGGCGUAAGCCUGCAUGGAGCUGCCAUUGUACAGAUCUUGUGGUAGUGCAAAUAAUCGAAUGAGACCUUGGAGGACUGAAGUGGAGAAGGGUUUCGUGUGAACAGUGGUUGAUCACGAGUUAGUCGGUCCUAAGUUCAAGGCGAAAGCCGAAAUUUUCAAGUAAAACAAAAAUGCCUAACUAUAUAAACAAAGCGAAUAUAAUACACUUGAAUAAUUUUGAACGAAAGGAAUACGGUUCAAUUCCGUAACCUGUUGAGUAUCCGUUUGUUAUUAAAUAUGGGCCUCGUGUCAUUCCUGGCAACAGGAACGACAUAAAGAAGCCGUCGAGAGAUUCGGAAGAGUUUUCUUUUCUGUUUUAUAGCCGUACUACCAUGGAAGUCUUUCGAGAGAGAUAUGGUAGAUGGGCUAGAAAGAGCAUGACAUAUACUGUUGUGUCGAUAUUUUCUCCUCGGACCUUGAAAAUUUAUGUGGGGACACGCAAACUUCUCAACAGGCCGUACCAUAUCCGCAGCUGGUCUCCAAGUGUGAAGAGUCUCUAGUCGAUAGAAUAAUGUAGGUAAGGGAAGUCGGCAAAUUAGAUCCGUAACUUCGGGAUAAGGAUUGGCUCUGAAGAUUGAGAUAGUCGGGCUUGAUUGGGAAACAAUAACAUGGUUUAUGUGCUCGUUCUGGGUAAAUAGAGUUUCUAGCAUUUAUGUUAGUACUUGUUCCCCGGAUAGUUAGUUACGUAGCCAAUUGUGGAACUUUCUUGCUAAAAUUUUAAGAAUACUAUUUGGGUUAAACCAAUUAGUUCUUAUCAAUUAUAACGAUUAUCAAUUAACAAUCAAUUCAGAACUGGCACGGAUUGGGAAUCCGACUGUCUAAUUAAAACAAAGCAUUGUGAUGGCCCUAGCGGUGUUGACACAAUGUGAUUUCUGCCAGUGCUCUGAAUGUCAAAGUGAAGAAAUUCAAGUAAGCGCGGUCAACGCGAGUAACAUGACUCUCAAGUAGACGAGCGUUGCGGAGGUCGAUAACCUAGUGCAGCGGGUGGAGACUAAUCUUAUAGACUCUGCUUAAUAGCCAAAUGCCUCGUCAUCUAAUUAUGACGCGCAUGAAUGGAUAUUAACGAGAUUCCUACUGUCCCUAUCUACUAUCUAGCGAAACCACAGCCAGGGAACGGGCUUGGAAUAAUUAGCGGGGAAAGAAGACUUUUGAGCUUGACUCAUCUGCAGAAAAAAAGAUAAGAAUAUUAGACCUCGGUUUGUAUCGUCAAUGAAAUACCACUACUCUUAUUGUUUCCUUACUUACUUGAUUAAAUGGAACGUGUAUCAUUUCCUAGCCAUUAUACGGAUAUAUUUAUUAUAUCUUAUGGUAUUGGGUUUUGAUGCAAGCUUCUUGAUCAAAGUAUCACGAGUUUGUUAUAUAAUCGCAAACAAAUUCUUUAUAAAACGAUGCAUUUAUGUAUUUUAUUUGAAAAUUUGGUAUAACUCCAAUUACUCAGGUAUGAUCCAAUUCAAGGACAUUGCCAGGUAGGGAGUUUGACUGGGGCGGUACAUCUCUCAAAUAAUAACGGAGGUGUCCCAAGGCCAGCUCAGUGCGGACAGAAACCACAAUAGAGCAAAAGGGCAAAUGCUGACUUGAUCUCGGUGUUCAGUACACACAGGGACAGCAAAAGCUCGGCCUAUCAUCCUUUUGGUUUUAAAGAGUUUUUAACAAGAGGGUCAGAAAGUUACCAUAGGGAUAACUGGCUUGUGGGGCCAAGCGUUCAUAGCGACGUCGCUUUUUGAUCCUUCGAUGUCGGCUCUUCUUCUCAUUGUGAAGCAAAAUUCACCAAGCGUUGAUUGUUCACCCAUGCAAGGAACGUGAGCUGGGUUUAGACCGUCGUGAGACAGGUUAGUUUUACCCUACUAAUGACAAAACUUGUUGCGACAGCAUUCCUGCUAGUACGGAGAACCGCAGGUACGGACCAAUGGCACAAUACUUGUUCGAGCGACAGUGGUAUGACGCUACGUCCGUUGGAUUAUGCCUGAACGCCUCUAAGGUCGUAUCCUGCUGGACUGCAAUGAUAAAUAAGGGGCAAUUUGCAUUGUAUGGCUUCUAAACCAUUUAAAGUUUAUAAUUUAUUUUAUAAACGACAAUGGAUGUGAUGCCAAUGUAAUUUGUAACAUAGUAAAUUAGGAGGAUCUUCGAUCACCUGAUGCCGCGCUGUUACAUAUAAAGCAUUAUUUAAUACAAUGACAAAGCCUAGAAUCAAUUGUAAACGACUUUUGUAACAGGCAAGGUGUUGUAAUGGUUGAGCAGCUGCAUACUGCGAUCCACUGAGCUAUCCUUUGCAUCGAUGAUUCUG